rnacentral:rRNA from 1 species
CCCUUCGAUGUUCUGGGCUGCACGCGCGCUACAAUGACAAAGUCAACAAGUUUUUUCCUUGCUCGAGAGGGCUGGGUAAUCUCUAAAACUUUGUCGUACCAAGGAUCGCUGAUUGCAACUAUUCGGCGUGAAUCAGGAAUGCCUUGUAACUACAAGUCAUCAGCUUGUAGUGAAUACGUCCCUGCCUUUUGUACACACCGCCCGUCGCUCCUACCAAUUGGCAUAAACGGUGAAAAGAUCGGAGAUAACUUUCGUAGGGGGUAAAAGCCCUUGGAAGACUUUAAAGUUCUUUAAAUCUCUUGUGCUAGAGGAAGGAGAAGUCGUANCA